rnacentral:lncRNA from 1 species
AUGUUGUCCUUUGCAGCCAGGUACUCAGGUCCCAGGAGGAUGGAACCACACAGUGCUGCAGCCCCUUUGCACCUGCCCUUUGUGCCCUGUGCUUUCGGCAGAGGCAUAUAUUGACAAUUUCUGGAGAAGAGUUUUCAAUGGCUUCUUCAGACACUGGGUGAAAGGUUGUCAAUUUACAGCCAGGACAGCCCCAAGUGUUAGAAAUUAACAGACUCAGCAGUCACUGGACGCAGUGGUUUUCAUGGUGACUGCCUUGUCCUGGCAAAGGUUAUUGAAGCAAGACUGAAGAGGCAUAAAUAUUCCAGAAAUAAGGUCCUGACUGCAGGGGCCGUUCCUGCAAUACUGUCUAUGAUCCUGUUUUCCAGGCACUUCUUUCCAUGCUAUGCUUGCAUCAUCAGUGCCCUUGAUGAAGAAGGGCGGGAGCUUUGACGUGGUGGAGACUUGCCAGAGAGACUCCUUUAGGGCUGCUCUGGCCCCUGCUAGACACCAGGGUUGGUGUGAAGAACACACAGAAGGUGGGGCCUGCCCUACUGUCCUUGCGACUGGUGAAAGAUGUCUUCAUUUCUGUGGCUGAGAGAGGUGUUGACUGGAGAUGCAGUCAGGGUCUGCGCUGUGACUGGGGAGGGUACCAGGGAGGAGACUGCUUCCCUGGGGAAGG